rnacentral:misc_RNA from 1 species
GACACCUUUGCCAGGCCUAGGCUGUGGUCUCUCAUUCAAGAAAACAACUUUUGCACUGUUGAUAAUGUAGGUCUGAACGGAAGUGAUAUCCAGAAAUUUCUGUAUUUCAUUCACCCUUAUCACAUCAUGGUACGAUGACCUCCGAAUCUGAAUGGCACGAUGGUCCUUAUGAUGAGAUAAACAAAUGGAACAAAGAGCACCAUCCAUACAAUCCAAACAGUACAUGUUACAUUCGCUCUUAUGAGAAUCAACAUGUAACUUGCAUUGAACGAAGAACCGUUCCUUCAACAAUGGCUUCAACCACGGUGGCCAUCUAUUAUCUUCCUCAUCAGGUCCUCCAGCUCCCAUGAUUCGCCUAUUCUUAGGCUUGAAUUCACGAACAGUGGUGUCUUGAUUAUCGAUCGCCAGCUUUGUAAAACAAAAAAAAAUAAAACUAUUUGUAUUUCUCGAAAGUAGUAACGCUUUGUGUAUUAGUGACAGUAAGAGAAAAAAUAAAAACUAUGGUUUGG